rnacentral:rRNA from 1 species
AUUGAACGCUGGCGGCAUGCUUUACACAUGCAAGUCGAACGGUAACAGGGAGCUUGCUCCGCUGACGAGUGGCGAACGGGUGAGUAAUGCGUCGGAACGUGCCGAGUAGUGGGGGAUAACGCAUCGAAAGGUGUGCUAAUACCGCAUACGAACUGAGGUUGAAAGUGGGGGACCUUCGGGCCCCACGCUAUACGAGCGGCCGACGUCUGAUUAGCUAGUUGGUGAGGUAAAGGCUCACCAAGGCGACGAUCAGUAGCGGGUCUGAGAGGAUGAUCCGCCACACUGGGACUGAGACACGGCCCAGACUCCUACGGGAGGCAGCAGUGGGGAAUUUUGGACAAUGGGCGCAAGCCUGAUCCAGCCAUGCCGCGUGUCUGAAGAAGGCCUUCGGGUUGUAAAGGACUUUUGUCCGGGAGCAAAUGCUGGUGGCUAACAUCCACCGGAGCUGAGAGUACCGGAAGAGUAAGCACCGGCUAACUACGUGCCAGCAGCCGCAGUAAUAC